rnacentral:rRNA from 1 species
CGACUGCUAAUACCGCAUAAGCCCACGGUGCCGCAUGGCACAGAGGGAAAAGGAGCAAUCCGCUUUGAGAUGGCCUCGCGUCCGAUUAGCUAGUUGGUGAGGUAAUGGCCCACCAAGGCGACGAUCGGUAGCCGGACUGAGAGGUUGAACGGCCACAUUGGGACUGAGACACGGCCCAGACUCCUACGGGAGGCAGCAGUGGGGAAUAUUGCACAAUGGGGGAAACCCUGAUGCAGCGACGCCGCGUGGAGGAAGAAGGUCUUCGGAUUGUAAACUCCUGUUGUUGAGGAAGAUAAUGACGGUACUCAACAAGGAAGUGACGGCUAACUACGUGCCAGCAGCCGCGGUAAAACGUAGGUCACAAGCGUUGUCCGGAAUUACUGGGUGUAAAGGGAGCGCAGGCGGGAAGACAAGUUGGAAGUGAAAUCUAUGGGCUCAACCCAUAAACUGCUUUCAAAACUGUUUUUCUUGAGUAGUGCAGAGGUAGGCGGAAUUCCCGGUGUAGCGGUGGAAUGCGUAGAUAUCGGGAGGAACACCAGUGGCGAAGGCGGCCUACUGGGCACCAACUGACGCUGAGGCUCGAAAGUGUGGGUAGCAAACAGGAUUAGAUACCCUGGUAGUCCACACCGUAAACGAUGAUUACUAGGUGUUGGAGGAUUGACCCCUUCAGUGCCGCAGUUAACACAAUAAGUAAUCCACCUGGGGAGUACGACCGCAAGGUUGAAACUCAAAGGAAUUGACGGGGGCCCGCACAAGCAGUGGAGUAUGUGGUUUAAUUCGACGCAACGCGAAGAACCUUACCAAGUCUUGACAUCCUGCGACGGACAUAGAAAUAUGUCUUUCCUUCGGGACGCAGAGACAGGUGGUGCAUGGUUGUCGUCAGCUCGUGUCGUGAGAUGUUGGGUUAAGUCCCGCAACGAGCGCAACCCUUAUGGUCAGUUACUACGCAAGAGGACUCUGGCCAGACUGCCGUUGACAAAACGGAGGAAGGUGGGGAUGACGUCAAAUCAUCAUGCCCUUUAUGACUUGGGCUACACACGUACUACAAUGGCGUUAAACAAAGAGAAGCAAGACCGCGAGGUGGAGCAAAACUCAGAAACAACGUCCCAGUUCGGACUGCAGGCUGCAACUCGCCUGCACGAAGUCGGAAUUGUUAGUAAUCGCAGAUCAGCAUGCUGCGGUGAAUACGUUCCCGGGCCUUGUACACACCGCCCGUCACACCAUUAGAGCCGGGGGGACCCGAAGUCGGUAGUCUAACCGCAAGGAGGACGCCGCCGAAGGUAAAACUGGUGAUUGGGGUGAAGUCGUAACAAGGUA